rnacentral:lncRNA from 1 species
CCAGCAGCAGUUGAUGGUGUUUCAUCAGUAUCACAUCAUUCUUCUGGAUAUCAAACUACUAGGGGCGGGGUGCCAGGUCAAGUUUCCAUGGCUGAUAUUGUGAAGAUGGGUAAGCCGCAGAGCAAAGUGCCGAGUGUACCUAAUGUAUCUCACCACAAUGCCAAUGCCCACCAAAACCAUAUUCAAGGGCUGCCGUCUGGUGCAUCACAUCAAAAUACCGAUUGUACCCAGUGUAUCUCACCACAAUGUCAAUGCUAACCAAAACCAUAUUCAAGGGCUCCCUUCUGGUGCAUCACAUCAAAAUAUUCAAUUUUCUGAUGAUCAUGCAUCCAAUGUUUCUGAUGUAUAUCGAGAGUCUGGGGAUUAUCGGGUGCAACAUCGUUCAACCGAUGAGGAAUGGCCUCUAAUCGAGCAGCCAUCAGUUGCUAGCCAGCCCUUUAUCUCAGAGCCUCCUGCAGAUUCUGAGCUGCAUCCUGGUCCAGCUAACAUAUCAUAUGACAGAAUUAAUCAUCAAACUGAGAUUGAUGAGGUACAGGGGACUGAUGACAGCACUGCUGAAAAUCUUGGUAGUCCUCCAAGCAGAAAUUUGCAGGAGGAGAAUGCUGGAGGUGCAUCUAUUUAUGAGAAUGACCUCUACAGAUUUCAGAACCCGAAUCAUACUUUUGACCAUCAAGAAGGUUAGUAUAUCAUAGUUUUGAGUUGGUAUUGUGAUAUGCUUUUCAUUGUUAAUGAUCUCUACAGAUUUCAGAACCAGAAUCAUACUUUUGACCAUCAAGAAGGUUAGUAUAUCAUAGUUUUGAGUUGGGAUUGUGAUAUGCUUUUCAUUGUUGAAAAUAUGUCUUGUUGUCAAAUAGCUUAUGUAAUAGCUCGCUUGACAUAGUAUUGCUUAUUGUUUGUUUUUCAUUAUUUUCUCUGAGGUUUCCAGGCUUGGCAGGUCUUUAGUCCAGUAAACUAAAGAUUCUCUCUGUUC